CCGCAUCACUUGGGGUGCCGAUACCGGCUGAGAGGACCCGGCCCAGAGGGGGCUGCAGUGUCCAACCCAUUGAACCUGAACUGGUUAGCACCAGCGGAGGGAAUGUGAUGGACAAAGCAG
rnacentral:ncRNA from 2 species